rnacentral:rRNA from 1 species
GACGAACGCUGGCGGCGUGCUUAACACAUGCAAGUCGAACGGGAACCUUUAUUUCGGUAAAGGUGAGAGUGGCAAACGGGUGAGUAACACGUAGGCAACCUGCCGACAGGAUGGGGACAACAUUCCGAAAGGAAUGCUAAUACCGAAUGGAGUCCGGAGAUGGCAUCGUCUCCGGAUAAAAGAUGGCCUCUGAAUAUGCUAUCGCCUGUCGAUGGGCCUGCGUCUGAUUAGCCAGUUGGCGGGGUAACGGCCCACCAAAGCGACGAUCAGUAGCCGGUCUGAGAGGAUGAACGGCCACAUUGGGACUGAGACACGGCCCAGACUCCUACGGGAGGCAGCAGUGGGGAAUCUUCCACAACUGGGCGAAAGCCUGA